rnacentral:rRNA from 1 species
AUUGAACGCUGGCGGCAGGCUUAACACAUGCAAGUCGAGCGGGGUGAUGGUGCUUGCACUAUCACUAGCGGCGGACGGGUGAGUAAUGCUUAGGAAUCUGCCUAUUAGUGGGGGACAACAUCUCGAAAGGGAUGCUAAUACCGCAUACGUCCUACGGGAGAAAGCAGGGGAUCACUUGUGACCUUGCGCUAAUAGAUGAGCCUAAGUCGGAUUAGCUGAGUUGGUGGGGUAAAGGCCUACCAAGGCGACGAUCUGUAGCGGGUCUGAGAGGAGGAUCCGCCGCAGUGGGGCUGAGACACGGCCCAGACUCCUACGGGAGGCAGCAGUGGGGAAUAUUGGACAAUGGGGGGAACCCUGAUCCAGCCAUGCCGCGUGUGUGAAGAAGGCCUUAUGGUUGUAAAGCACUUUAAGCGAGGAGGAGGCUCUUUUGGUUAAUACCCAAGAUGAGUGGACGUUACUCGCAGAAUAAGCACCGGCUAACUCUGUGCCAGCAGCCGCCGUAA